UUCAAAAUGACUCAGACACAAAGGGAAUUUGUUGACCUACACAGUUGAUAAGUCCAGAAGUGGCUCUCACAUACAUAUAGCAAAACUGGAUCCAAGAGCUCACUGUCACAACAGAGGCCACUCACAUUCCUUGGCUGGUGACUUCUUUUUCCAUUCGAAGCCAGUCAUGAAUGGUUGGGUCUUUUGAUAUCACUUCACCUUGACAGUGACUCUUCUGCCUCUGACUUCCACAUUGAAGGACCUUCAUGACUAUACUGGAUCCACUUGGAUAAUCCAAGAUAAUCUCUGUGUUUCAAGAACACUGAAGAGCCCUUAAUGUGCUAAUAUGCACUGCAAUGCACUGCCAUACUCCAAGUGGUGGCUACAGAAAACAGUAAAUCCACCUGAAUGUGGCAUCAUUGAAAAGGAUGGUGAAAUUAGGGUUCCAUGUUGUUAGAAAUAGUGUUACAAACCAGUGUGUGAUGGUAGGGCAUGCCAAAGAUCUAAUCUUGAUGUUCCCCAAAGCAUUAA